UACGAAGGAGGCUAGCGUUGCUCGGAAUCACUGGGCGUAAAGGGUGCGUAGGCGGGUCUUUAAGUCAGGGGUGAAAUCCUGGAGCUCAACUCCAGAACUGCCUUUGAUACUGAAGAUCUUGAGUUCGGGAGAGGUGAGUGGAACUGCGAGUGUAGAGGUGAAAUUCGUAGAUAUUCGCAAGAACACCAGUGGCGAAGGCGGCUCACUGGCCCGAUACUGACGCUGAGGCACGAAAGCGUGGGGGAGCAAACAGG
rnacentral:rRNA from 1 species